AUGGACCUUAUCAUUAAAACUGGAAAUACUUUAUAUUGGAUAAAUAUAAUAGAGGGGACUGAAGUAUAUACACAAUUGAGCUUAUAUAUAUUAUUGUUUUUUUUUCUUUGUUCUCUUUUAUCAUAUUGUUGAUUGUUUUCUUGUCUUCUGCUUAUAAUAGCUAAGCGCUUCUUGUGGAUUGUGACGUGUGAUAUUUGUUUUUGGCUCUGUUGAUGGUUAAAUAAUUCUUUAUUCACACAAAAGAGGAGCCUAGCCAACUACAAUAAAAGCAUCUGCGAAACUGAUAGUAAUCACAAUAGAGAAGUAUUCUGGAUAAGUAAUCACUACACUCAAACCCCAGUUGCAAGCAAGCAUCUUGUUGGUAUCAUCCCUUUCAACUGUGGAGUCUUAGUCAAACUGCCUCUAUGAUUUUAUUAAGAAUAACUGAAAAAGUAUUAAUCUUCUUGCCAUGAAGCCUAGAAUUCCUCUCCACCAAUAACUGAAGAAGUGGAGGUAAGAUUAAGGGAAGGAAGGGCUGUCAACAUUCACAUGUUUUGUGCUCGCAGGCCAGGUCUCUUGCUCUCCACCAUGAGAGCUCUAGACAACCUUGGAUUGGACAUACAACAAGCUGUAAUCAACUAUUUUAAUGGGUUUGCACUAGAUGUUUUCCGAGCUGAGUUUCGGAUCUGGUGAUGCUGAACAAAGACAAUAUGAAAAUUGGGAAAUUGGAGCUAUGCGAGUACCAGAAUUGUAGCUUUGUUAAACAAGCAUUACAGUACCAGCUAAUCUGGAAGUCUGCAUAUCAUCUAAAAAAUAGAAAAGUUGUAAGGUGUUUGGUUUGUUGGUGGAUAUUAAUAUUUGGAUGAAGAAUUCAGUAAUUUUGAUUUGGUGUUUGACAAAUGACAGCAAUGCAGGGAAGGCCAGGAUGUAUUGCCUGAGCAAAUCAAAGCAGUACUUUUGGAUUCAGCAGGGUUCCGUGGGAUAAUGUGAGGGUGAAUGGUUGGCUUAUUAUGAUGGUAUUGGUAUGAACAGAGGCAAUAGUAAAUGUUGAUGUAAAGUAAUUAGUUGCUUCUCAUCCCAGUGGUGAAGCAAAUUUUACAAGGUAGUGAGCUUUGUAGGUAGCGCAAGCAAGUAGGCAAACAAUUGAUUUCUUAGUUAUUCUAUCACUUGAGAAUUAAGUUGAUUCUGAUGGAGGUUUUUAUUUAUUAUAUUUAUUUUCUUUUUUCUUUUGGGUUAA